rnacentral:rRNA from 1 species
GACGAACGCUGGCGGCGUGCUUAACACAUGCAAGUCGAACGGUGAAGCGCCUUCCUUUUUGGUUGGUGUGGAUGAGUGGCGAACGGGUGAGUAACACGUGAGUAACCUGCCCCCUUCUUCUGGAUAACCGCAUGAAAGUGUGGCUAAUACGGGAUAUUCUGGUUCUUUCGCAUGAUGGGUCUGGGAAAGAUAUUGUUUCGGUGGGGGAUGGGCUCGCGGCCUAUCAGCUUGUUGGUGGGGUGAUGGCCUACCAAGGCGGUGACGGGUAGCCGGCCUGAGAGGGUGGACGGUCACACUGGGACUGAGACACGGCCCAGACUCCUACGGGAGGCAGCAGUGGGGAAUAGUGCACAAUGGGCGAAAGCCUGAUGCAGCGACGCCGCGUGAGGGAUGGAGGCCUUCGGGUUGUGAACCUCUUUCGCCAGUGAAGCAGGCCUGCCUCGUUUGUGGGUGGGUUGACGGUAGCUGGAUAAGAAGCGCCGGCUAACUACGUG